GAACGCUGGCGGCGUGCCUAAUACAUGCAAGUCGAGCGAACAGAUAAGGAGCUUGCUCCUUUGACGUUAGCGGCGGACGGGUGAGUAACACGUGGAUAACCUACCUAUAAGACUGGGAUAACUUCGGGAAACCGGAGCUAAUACCGGAUAACAUAUUGAACCGCAUGGUUCAAUAGUGAAAGGCGGCUUUGCUGUCACUUAUAGAUGGAUCCGCGCCGUAUUAGCUAGUUGGUAAGGUAACGGCUUACCAAGGCAACGAUACGUAGCCGACCUGAGAGGGUGAUCGGCCACACUGGAACUGAGACACGGUC
rnacentral:rRNA from 1 species